rnacentral:rRNA from 1 species
CCCUUAGAUGUUCUGGGCCGCACACGCGCUACACUGAAGGAGGCAGCGUGUACUCCUGGAUCGAAAGAUUUGGGUAACCCGCGAAUCUCCUUCGUGCUAGGGAUUGAGGUUUGCAAUUAUCCUUCAUGAACGAGGAAUUCCCAGUAAGUGCAAGUCAUAAGCUUGCGCUGACUACGUCCCUGCCCUUUGUACACACCGCCCGUCGCUCCUACCGAUUGAAUGGUCCGGUGAAGCGUUCGGACCGUGGCCUUUGGACGGUUCGCCGUCUGUUGGCUGCGGGAAGUUCGUUAAACCUUNUNAUUUAUNGGAAGGAGAANUCGUANCA